rnacentral:rRNA from 1 species
GGCUUAGAGUUUGAUCAUGGCUCAGGAUAAACGCUGGCGGCGCACAUAAGACAUGCAAGUCGAACGGAAGUCGUUAUAAAUGAAUAGAAGAUUUAUCUGAUUGAAGUUUAUAACAAUGGCUUUAGUGGCGGACUGGUGAGUAACGCGUAAGUAAUCUGCCUAUUAGAGGGGAAUAACAAUGAGAAAUCAUUGCUAAUACCGCAUAUGCCAUAGUGAAGGCAUCUUCAUAGUGGGAAAGGAGCAAUCCGCUAAUAGAUGAACUUGCGUCUGAUUAGUUAGUUGGUGGGGUAACGGCCUACCAAGACGACGAUCAGUAGCCGGACUGAGAGGUUGAACGGCCACAUUGGGACUGAGAUACGGCCCAGACUCCUACGGGAGGCAGCAGUCGGGAAUAUUGCGCAAUGGAGGAAACUCUGACGCAGUGACGCCGCGUAUAGGAAGAAGGUUUUCGGAUUGUAAACUAUUGUCGUUAGGGAAGAAAAAGGACAGUACCUAAGGAGGAAGCUCCGGCUAACUACGUGCCAGCAGCCGCGGUAAUACGUAGGGAGCGAGCGUUAUCCGGAUUUAUUGGGUGUAAAGGGUGCGUAGACGGGCUUAUAAGUUAGUUGUGAAAUCCCUCGGCUUAACUGAGGAACUGCAACUAAAACUGUAAGUCUUGAGUGCAGGAGAGGUAAGUG